rnacentral:sRNA from 1 species
UUCAUACAUAGGUGGCUGCAUCAUGUAA